ACGAACGCUGGCGGCGUGCCUAACACAUGCAAGUCGAACGGGUGUCUGAUCUUCGGACUGGACACUUAGUGGCGGACGGGUGAGUAACGCGUGGGUAACCUGCCUCAUACAGGGGGAUAGCAGUUGGAAACGACUGAUAAUACCGCAUAAGCGCACAGUACCGCAUGGUACAGUGUGAAAAAACUCCGGUGGUAUGAGAUGGACCCGCGUCUGAUUAGCUUGUUGGCGGGGUAACGGCCCACCAAGGCGACGAUCAGUAGCCGGCCUGAGAGGGUGAACGGCCACAUUGGGACUGAGACACGGCCCAAACUCCUACGGGAGGCAGCAGUGGGGAAUAUUGCACAAUGGGGGAAACCCUGAUGCAGCCGACGCCGCGUGAAGGAUCGAAGUAUUUCGGUAUGUAAACUUCUAUCAGCAGGGAAGAUGAUGACGGUACCUGACUAAGAAGCCCCGGCUAACUACGUGCCAGCCGCUGC
rnacentral:rRNA from 1 species